GUGCCAGCAGCCGCGGUAAUACGGAGGGGGCUAGCGUUGUUCGGAAUUACUGGGCGUAAAGCGCGCGUAGGCGGUUUGCCAAGUCAGAGGUGAAAGCCCGGGGCUUAACCUCGGAAUUGCCUUUGAGACUGGCAGGCUUGAGUACGGGAGAGGUAAGUGGAAUUCCGAGUGUAGAGGUGAAAUUCGUAGAUAUUCGGAAGAACACCAGUGGCGAAGGCGGCUUACUGGACCGUUACUGACGCUGCGGCGCGAAAGCGUGGGGAGCAAACAGGAUUAGAUACCCUGGUAGUCCACGCCGUAAACGAUGGGUGCUAGAUGUUGGGGGCCUUUGGCUUCCGGUGUCGCAGCUAACGCGUUAAGCACCCCGCCUGGGGAGUACGGCCGCAAGGUUAAAACUCAAAUGAAUUGACGGGG
rnacentral:rRNA from 1 species